ensembl:lncRNA
UAAAACACUUAUUUUAAAUGUUCUAGGCAGUGGCAAGUGAUCUACAAAGGACUAAAAAACCCUGUAAGUUUCCCUACCUGCCUUUGACCUUUGAUGUGUCAAUGAUCUGUUAAAUUCAGAGAUUAGCCAUCAAGUCAUAUUCUGUUAUUCAUGUUCAUUUCUCUGUCAGACUUCAUCAAACUUUGAAUUCAGUCACAAACAAGAAUAACAAUGUUGAUCAAAUGCAUUCUGUUCGAUCUAGAAUACUUUACAUCACAGUUCCAUUGAAAAUACUGUUUUUGUUCUGUUUGUUCAAAACAGAUGACGAAGGAACUGCUUGCCAAAUUGUGCAAGACAAUUGUAACCUUCAUCGCACAGACCACCCUGCAGAUCCUGCUGCCAGCCCUGGCCCGCGUACUUGGGGUAAAGGACUUUGCUGACGACGACACUGACUCACCCAAGAGGGGUGGUAGUGCAAGAUCCUUUGCUGCCUUUGACAAGGAAAGACUGGAGCUCAUCCAGGAAGUUAGAUAUCUGGCGAAGAAAAUGUAUAAGGGCGGCACAGGGGCUCAACAUCUCAGGUCCCUAACACCCUCUUCUAAGAGUUCCCAGACCUCAGUGAAAGUCCACCUGGGAAUGACAGAGGACAGAAUCAUCAAAAGUGUCCAGGAGCAACUGUCUGAUCAUAAUAUCCUGUCCUCUUGCCCACCUGAGCUGACUGUUGGUCUUAUCAAGGUGGUGGUCGAACAGCUUAACUCUGCCCUCUCUGCGACCAUCAGCAGAGCCAUUUCAGGGCGGUCCUCCCCUAUUUCUUCUGGUACCCAGGCCGCUGAACAAAUGGUCAACAUGGUCCAGAAAUGUUUUGAUGAUCACACCACCCCAGAGGACCAGAGCUCUACCUCUGUAUUAGAGUCAUGCAUUCCACCUGCAACAGAAGAAGUGAUGACUGUUAUCGCAGAGAUGGUGGGUGAAUUGGAAAAAGAAGAUCCGGAAUUGGCUAAGGUUUUUCGAGAAGUGGCUGUGAAAGUUAAAAUGUUGGCAUCUGGCAGUGACCUUGUAGUGGAGCACCUGGAUGUUGAAGACUCUCCUGUUCCAGAGGAGCUGAACAUAAUAUGUACAUCUUGCAAAGCAAUGAUGCAAAAUCUUGGCACUCUGUUUAGUGUGAAGUUCAAGACCAAAGCCUCAAAGGCUGUGAGUGAAAUUCUUGUGAGAAGGUUAAUGAGCGAUAUCUCUGGUAUGGUUCAACCUUCUCAUUCGUUUAGUACCACUCCAAGCUUGAUGAAUGCAUCUAGCCCAUCUGACAGGAUCCUUGAUUCUGCGGCCAUUGAGCUCAUACAGAUCAAAGUAGAAUCUGAGACAUCAAAAAUAAUUGAUAACUUUGUUGAAGAUGUCAAGGACAUUGUGCAGUAUGCUGAAUUAGAUCGGCCAACAAGCACCCAGAGAGAUACCCAAGUGGGACACUGUACGACAAAGCGGAAACCCUUCCGUGCAGCUCGUAGACUCUGCGAGAGACUUCAGGCAAAGCUGGAGACAUUGUUCCUCAGAAUGGGUGGAGCUCCAGUCCAAGGGGAAGAACUUAUGGAAAAAGCUGACUCCAGUGCUGUGCUUCUGGAGCAUACUGACUCCAGUGAUCUGCUUGUUUCAAUCCUGAGCUUGCCUUCCCCAUGUAGGAGUGAAUCCCCUAUAUCAGAACGUAGUUCAUCUUCUUUAUCUGAUGGAUGUGAUUCAACUGACUCUGUAGGAGAGAAAACACCAGAGCAACCUGAAACCAGUAAGAGUGAGGCAAUACUGCAAGUGGUCAACUCAACAGGACUUGGUUCUCUCCGUAAAUGCCAAAGUGAGAACUCUCAACCAUUACUGUCUCUCUGUGAUUCCAACAUGGUGCCCUGCACCAAAGAGGUCUUGUCCCAGAUUGUGACCAUGUAUAGGUCAGAGGUGGCAGAUUUGGAAUGCACAUCAUCUGUUGCAGAGGGUUCCUCUUCCAACUCCCUUGAAGUCUGUGGCUUUUUGGACAGUGUCAUGUCUUAUCUAGAAGACAUGCCUGUGUCUGGUUCUUCAUGGUUGGAAGGAUUGAGAGAUACUCCAGCCUCAGUCAUUGAGAAACUCUCCAGUGAGGAGUUCCAGAUGAACGCUACCAACGAAGUGCGAAAAAUACUGAUCAAAUCAGUCAGUAGCUUUCCCAGCAAAGUCAGUUCCAGCCAGACAGAUUCUCAGAUGUUGCCAGCAAAAUCAACAAUUUCCUUAAGGCAUACAGAUAUAACUGCUUUUGAAAUCGUUGGAUCAAUUACAAAUGACAUGAAGAGCCUUUUCCCACCCACAGAGUCUUCUACUACUCUAUGGCAGGCAGACUCUAUGCUUCAACAGAGUGAUGAGAAAACCUCAGAGUACACUGAGGCCACACCCAAAGGCUCACAGUCUGGUUUGGAAGUAUCUGAGAAGAAGAUCUGGACAACUGCAAAGACUAUUUACCACAAUGUGAAGACAAAGAUGAGGAAUUAUUUUACAUGGCAAAAUCAAGUCAAAGCAACAACGGCUCAUGCCAAAAAGACCCUCAGCCAUAUUCUGGUUUCAAUUCAGAAAGAGCUGUCAAAAUCUGACCAAACGGUGACUGCGCUUUCACAAAUAGAGAAUGUGGUUGGAAUGAUGCUGAAGGAUGUUGAAAGGGUAAGCAGUGAAUGUGGUGAGGAACUGAUCUAUCAAGCGUCACAGCGUUCUUCCUCCUUGUUGUCAUCCUCAUCUGCCAGAUCAAAGAAGUCAGAGUGGGAAUUUUCACUCCCUGGCACUCCCAUCUCUUCUGAUUUACCAGAGUGUAUUACUCAGCCCAUUGUGAGAUGCUCAGUCAUCGACAUGGGCAAAUCUACUAAGCCAAAAACAUUGGUGUGUGAUGCCAGGGAAAGCAUGUCUGCAAUAGUGGAUACCAUCAUAAAGGAGGUACAUCCAGAGGAAGAAGGGGAGGUUGCAUUCCACCCUGAUCUAACAGCUGCAAUAGCAAGACUGGAGGAGCUCAUAUCUCAGGGUAGGAUUGGUGCUCUCUCACGUGAUCUUACUCACCAAGUCAACCGCAUCAUUUCUGAGAGCAACUUGACCCCUCUGGUUCUGACAGUGGCGGCUGGAAAGAGUGCAUCCGAUACAGUCCUUACUGAGCUGAAGAGGAAUGACAAGACGGUGGGGAAGCCCACAGCUUACAAGCUGGUUCAGCUUUUUGCAGAGGAGUCUGUGAAGCGCCUCUUGCUUCCUAGCCUUGUGCCCUCUACAGCUUCAAUGAGUUUGGCUCAGGGAGUUAGUGUGCCGGCUAGCGUAUCUGAAGAUAGGAUUUCAUGUUCUUUUUCUACAUCAGCAUUUAGUGACACAGUCAGCCUGUUUACCAAAGUAAUGGUAAGCCAGGUCAUGGACUCUGUGGUUUCUGAUGCACAAAGCAGAGGGUCAUCUCCAACCGGAACUGUAACUGAUAUAGGCAGUCUACUGAGUGGUAAGUCCUACCCUCUGCCAUCUUUCUCCGCCAUCAGCAUGACAACAAGUGGGACCUCCAAUGCUGCACGAGGCUUUGAGGCCAACAUAGAUGCUGAGGAAAGGGAUACCAUCAGUUGUUUCGGUGUACCUCAGAGCAUUGUUUGUGAUCAGAAUUCAACCAGCCCGGAUGUUGCCUCGCUUUCAACCCCAUCCACUGACAACUUAGUCGGUGAUGAUGACUUCACCGGCCUCAUCAGCAUGUUAGUGGUGAGACUUCUGUCAAAAAUCCAAACCCAAACUGAUCUGUACCCAACUGACGUCACACGCACGUCACAAGACCUGAUUCCAAAAGUUAUAGCUGCCUUCUGUGCAUGGUCAGGCUGCUCUGAGACCCAAGCUUAUCCCAAGAACCUGAAGAGUCACAAAGUAUACAGCACCGUCUACAAACAUCUGUUGAAGGAGUUUGGCUCAGAGAAAAUAAUCCAACUGGCCGUGUCGACUCAGGACUCCACAUUCAAUAGGAUUCUUGUGAAGUCAUUGAGCAAGGAGCUUCUCCACAGUUGUAACGAGGCAUCAAGAGCAGCCUCAAGAACAUCUUUCGAAGCCACCAGGCCAGAAGCUCUUCUCAUGGCUGAAGAUGUGAAGGCUACCAGAGGGAAGCUGUCUUUCCUACAAAGGCUUGCCAGACUGAAAUUCGACUUAAAGGUACAUCACACUUAUUUAAGUUAA